UUGAAACAUUGGUUCCCAUAUGACCACCAAAGUUAAGCAACAUUGAGCCUGUUCAGAACCUAGAUGAGUGAAACCUUGGGAAUACCAGGUGCUA